UACGUAGGGUGCGAGCGUUAAUCGGAAUUACUGGGCGUAAAGCGUGCGCAGGCGGUUUUGCAAGACAGAUGUGAAAUCCCCCGGGCUUAACCUGGGGAACUGCAUUUGUGACUGCAAGGCUAGAGUGUGUCAGAGGGAGGUGGAAUUCCGCGUGUAGCAGUGAAAUGCGUAGAGAUGCGGAGGAACACCGAUGGCGAAGGCAGCCUCCUGGGAUAACACUGACGCUCAUGCACGAAAGCGUGGGGAGCAAACAGG
rnacentral:rRNA from 1 species